rnacentral:ncRNA from 1 species
GAAGCCUGGUCCUUGUUCUGACCCAGCCGGGACAUGGACAGGAUUGACAGAUAGACAGAUUUCUCCAUUCCGUGGGUGCAUGGCCAUUCUUAGUUGGUGGAGUGAUUUGUCUGGUAAAUUCUGGUAAUGAACGAGACUCUGGCGUGCUAACUAGCUACCCCAAGCAAGCAGCCCAUGUCCCCCAACUUCUUAGAGAGGCAAGUGGUGUUCAGCCACCCGAGAUAGAGCAAUAACAAGUCUAUGAUGCCCUUAGAUGUCCAGGGCUACACAGGAGCUACGGCGACUGGCUCAGCGUGUGCCUGCCUUACGCUGGCAGGUACGGGUAACCUGGUGAACCCCGUUUGUGGUGGCAACCGGGGAUUGCAACUCUCCCCAUGGACAA